rnacentral:rRNA from 1 species
AUUGAACGCUGGCGGCAUGCUUUACACAUGCAAGUCGAACGGCAGCGCGGGCUUCGGCCUGGCGGCGAGUGGCGAACGGGUGAGUAAUGCAUCGGAACGUGCCCAGUAGUGGGGGAUAGCCCGGCGAAAGCCGGAUUAAUACCGCAUACGACCUGAGGGUGAAAGCGGGGGACCGCAAGGCCUCGCGCUAUUGGGGCGGCCGAUGUCGGAUUAGCUAGUUGGUGGGGUAAAGGCUUACCAAGGCGACGAUCCGUAGCUGGUCUGAGAGGACGACCAGCCACACUGGGACUGAGACACGGCCCAGACUCCUACGGGAGGCAGCAGUGGGGAAUUUUGGACAAUGGGGGCAACCCUGAUCCAGCCAUGCCGCGUGCGGGAAGAAGGCCUUCGGGUUGUAAACCGCUUUUGUUCGGGAAGAAAUCCUCUGGGCUAAUACCCCGGGGGGAUGACGGUACCGGAAGAAUAAGCACCGGCUAACUACGUG